GACGAACGCUGGCGGCGUGCUUAACACAUGCAAGUCGAACGGUAAGGCCCUUCGGGGUACACGAGUGGCGAACGGGUGAGUAACACGUGGGUGAUCUGCCCUGCACUUCGGGAUAAGCCUGGGAAACUGGGUCUAAUACCGGAUAGGACCACUGCCUGCAUGGGUGGUGGUGGAAAGCUUUUGCGGUGUGGGAUGGGCCCGCGGCCUAUCAGCUUGUUGGUGGGGUGAUGGCCUACCAAGGCGACGACGGGUAGUCGGCCUGAGAGGGUGACCGGCCACACUGGGACUGGGAGACGGCCCAGACUCCUACGGGAGGCAGCAGGGGGGAAUAUUGCACAAUGGGCGCAAGCCUGAUGCAGCGACGCCGCGUGAGGGAGGACGGCCUUCGGGUUGUAAACCUCUUUCAGCACCGACGAAGCGCAAGUGACGGUAGGUGCAGAAGAAGGACCGGCCAACUACGUGCCAGCAGCCGCGGUAA
rnacentral:rRNA from 1 species